AAAACCAGACCUGAGUCCUUUAAAACUCACAAUUCUAGCCAAUGAAUUGAAAGAAUGUAGAAUCUACUGCAAUGAGUUUCAGUGUAUGAAGGAGUACUUGGAGGCCAUCUCUGUUCAGGAGCUCUGGGAAUUGGUUCUCAAAUGCUGGAUUGAAGACUACAGUUGGACUUUUCAACCCAAAAGGGCAAAUUCAGACACUGUGGCUUCAGGAGAAGUUUGCAUUUCUGUAAAGAAAAUUGACUUCAAAUUUACUGCGCCCUCCUGCACCUACAAGGAGGUGGAAACUAGUUCUCUGUGCCCUUAGAAGAGUCACUCGGCAAAGUGGCCUGUGGCUGUGUUGCCCUCCAUCUCCAGGACUGGAUGGCUGGGUGGCCGACGCUCUGUGCUUACUGUGCCUGUCGCAUGGUGGCUUGGCUGAGGAUGAGCUACUCCAGCUUCUGGACAUGCUGGGCUACAGGAAUCAUUACAAAGUGACCACCUUGCACUGGGCUGCCUUCCGCAACGCCACCAAACAGUGGGUCCAGGAGAAGCCCAAUGGCCUUCUGUAUUUCUGGCACAGUCCCUGCGAAGUGCAGUGGAGCACAAGCUUCUUGAUGGCCCAUGCAAAUCUACUGGUGAUCUUGACUUCUGUGGGCCUAAAGAUUAUUCUGUUUCAUCAGGCACCCUCAAUAUCACAGACUUUAUAUCAAAAAUCCAAAGCCCGGGCUUCUGGACAAGGCAGCUUAUGGUCAAGUGUAAAUGACAGACAUUAAAAAGCAAUUUGGCCCGAGAAGAGACGUUCAAAGUGAUGGUGGCAUGGA
rnacentral:sRNA from 1 species